rnacentral:lncRNA from 1 species
GUAACGACCGACCCCUAAACCUUCCCGAGUUAGUCUUGAUCAGAGCCCUUGAUCCUAGUCAUCUGUCUUGCUUGACCGCGCCUAAGUGCUCAGCUAUCCGCCUGGUCCCGACCCCUGAGAUCCGACCCCUUCCCGCUUCGCUCCUCUCCCGACCCCGGCGAGCUCAGCCCACCAUCGGAUUCUGCUAAUCUUCCUCAACCGUC